rnacentral:lncRNA from 1 species
AUGUCUUGCUUCAUUUGAGCGUUGACACAACAAAUUAUUUUUCAGUUGACAACAAUGUUCCAUUUUCAUUUCCUCAUGCAUGUUUUCUAGCUGUAAUGUGAAAUCCUCUGGUGAUUUGUGAAUGGCACACAGCUCUUACAGAGACGAUUGCUUCUCUCCUCACAGCGGACCUAAAGCCAAACACUGCAGCUCAUGCAACAAAUGCAUCGCAGACUUCGACCAUCACUGCAAGUGGCUGAACAACUGUGUGGGAGGAAGGAACUACUGGUGAGCAGAAGUCAGGUUUCAGAGCGCUGAUGAUCUUUCUGUUUGACUGUGGCUGGAGGUUCAUGUUUUCCCAGGUUCUUCUUCAUAACCAUCUGUUCUGCUGUGGUGGGGAUGCUGCUCCUGGUUCUUGUGGUUUUGUUUGUCUUCAUCGAGCACUACGUGAACCCUUCUGUCCUGCGCACCGCGCCGCAGUUUCAGACUGUGAAAGCUAACGUCUCGUGGCUGGUUUUCCUGCCGGUGGCUCCUUUAGAGACGAGCUCCAUCGGUCUCCUGACGCUGGCCUUCAUCACAGUCCUGCUGGCUCUGGCUGCUCUCUUACUGCUCUGCCACUUACUCUGCUUCCACAUCUACCUCCGUGAGUCUGAGCCCAGCGUUAUCCACUGCUGAAGACAGAUAGCAGCUUCUGUUCACUCUGUGUUGUGUCUCAGUAUCUCAGGGCAUCAGCACUUACGAGUACAUCGUCAGGAAGCGUCAGUCUCCGACCGCUCAAGAGAAGGAGCAGGUUCCUCCGGCGCUGCCGUCUAACGGAGUCACCGCACAGGUACACACCGCUGAACACAGUUAAACAAUCAAUACCAAUCCUGCAAUGCAACUUCAAAUAAAACACUAAAUAACUCUUUUGCAUAGGGAUAACAAGAAAUUGCAUUAAAAUUUAUGCAAAAUAUACAGCAUGGAUUUUUUCAGGCCAAAAGGAUGUUUAACCAAGCUAAAAGCUCAUUCAGAAUAUUAAUAAAUGGUAUAAUAGUUAAUUUAUUAAUAAGUCACUUUGAAAUUGUAUAUAUCAUUAAAAGCACUAUACAAAUAAACAAUUAGUUUAACAGUACAGAACACUUGCCAUGCAAAAAAUACCUUCUUUACAUGGGAAAAAAAAUUGCAUAUAUAUUUUUUUUUUUUUUUUUUUUUUUUUUUUAAUAUAAUGAAUUGUAGGAUUUUUUGCUAACCUAAAAAACUAAUUAAUAAUUAAUAUAAAUAAAUAUGUAAUGUGUAUAUAUAUAUAUAUAUAUAUAUAUAUAUAUAUAUAUAUAUAUAUAUAUAUAUAUAUAUA